rnacentral:rRNA from 1 species
UACGAAGGGGGCAAGCGUUGCUCGGAAUCACUGGGCGUAAAGCGUACGUAGGCGGGUCGUUAAGUCAGAGGUGAAAUCCUGGAGCUCAACUCCAGAACUGCCUUUGAUACUGGCGACCUUGAGUUCGAGAGAGGUUGGUGGAACUGCGAGUGUAGAGGUGAAAUUCGUAGAUAUUCGCAAGAACACCAGUGGCGAAGGCGGCCAACUGGCUCGAUACUGACGCUGAGGUACGAAAGCGUGGGGAGCAAACAGG